rnacentral:rRNA from 1 species
ACACAUGCAGUCGAACGAACUCUUCGGAGUUAGUGGCGGACGGGUGAGUAACACGUGGGAACGUGCCUUUAGGUUCGGAAUAACUCAGGGAAACUUGUGCUAAUACCGAAUGUGCCCUUCGGGGGAAAGAUUUAUCGCCUUUAGAGCGGCCCGCGUCUGAUUAGCUAGUUGGUGAGGUAAAGGCUCACCAAGGCGACGAUCAGUAGCUGGUCUGAGAGGAUGAUCAGCCACAUUGGGACUGAGACACGGCCCAAACUCCUACGGGAGGCAGCAGUGGGGAAUCUUGCGCAAUGGGCGAAAGCCUGACGCAGCCAUGCCGCGUGAAUGAUGAAGGUCUUAGGAUUGUAAAAUUCUUUCACCGGGGACGAUAAUGACGGUACCCGGAGAAGAAGCCCCGGCUAACUUCGUGCCAGCAGCCGCGGUAAUACGAAGGGGGCUAGCGUUGCUCGGAAUUACUGGGCGUAAAGGGAGCGUAGGCGGACAUUUAAGUCAGGGGUGAAAUCCCGGGGCUCAACCUCGGAAUUGCCUUUGAUACUGGGUGUCUUGAGUAUGAGAGAGGUGUGUGGAACUC